rnacentral:rRNA from 1 species
AUUGAACGCUAGCGGGAUGCUUUACACAUGCAAGUCGAACGAGUGGCGGACGGGUGAGUAAUAUAUCGGAAAGUGCCCAAUAGCGGGGGAUAACUACUCGAAAGAGUGGCUAAUACCGCCUACUAUUGGAGCGGCCGAUAUCGGAUUAGCUAGUUGGGGGGGUAAAGGCUCACCAAGGCCAAGCUCCGUAGCUGGUAUGAGAGGACGACCAGCCACACUGGGACUGAGACACGGCCCAGACCCCUACGUGAGGCAGCAGUGGGGAAUUUUGGACAAUGGGGGAAACCCUGAUCCAGCCAUCCCGCGUGUAUGAGAAGGCCUUCGGGUUGUAAAGUACUUUUGGCAGAGAAGCGGUAUCUGCAGAAUAAGCACCGGCUAACUACGUGCCAGCAGCCGCGGUAAUAC